rnacentral:rRNA from 1 species
AGGGUUUGAUCAUGGCUCAGGAUGAACGCUAGCGGUAGGCCUAACACAUGCAAGUCGAACGGUAACAUAAGAGCUUGCUCUUGAUGACAAGUGGCGAACGGGUGAGUAACACGUAUACAAUCUACCUUUAACUGAGGAAUAGCCCAGAGAAAUUUGGAUUAAUACCUCAUAGUAUUAUUUUAAGGCAUCUUAUUAUAAUUAAAACUCCGGUGGUUAAAGAUGAGUAUGCUUUCUAUUAGUUUGUUGGUGAGGUAACGGCUCACCAAGACUACGAUAGAUAGGGGGCCUGAGAGGGUGAUCCCCCACACUGGUACUGAGACACGGACCAGACUCCUACGGGAGGCAGCAGUGAGGAAUAUUGCGCAAUGGAGGAAACUCUGACGCAGCCAUACCGCGUGUAGGAAGAAUGUCCUAUGGAUUGUAAACUACUUUUAUACAAGAAGAAACCCCAGUACGUGUACUGGGCUGACGGUAUUGUAAGAAUAAGCACCGGCUAACUCCGUGCCA